AGUGAACGCUGGCGGUAGGCCUAACACAUGCAAGUCGAACGGCAGCACAGUAAGAGCUUGCUCUUACGGGUGGCGAGUGGCGGACGAGUGAGGAAUACAUCGGAAUCUACUUUUUCGUGGGGGAUAACGUAGGGAAACUUACGCUAAUACCGCAUACGACCUACGGGUGAAAGCAGGGGAUCUUCGGACCUUGCGCGAUUGAAUGAGCCGAUGUCGGAUUAGCUAGUUGGCGGGGUAAAGGCCCACCAAGGCGACGAUCCGUAGCUGGUCUGAGAGGAUGAUCAGCCACACUGGAACUGAGACACGGUCCAGACUCCUACGGGAGGCAGCAGUGGGGAAUAUUGGACAAUGGGCGCAAGCCUGAUCCAGCCAUACCGCGUGGGUGAAGAAGGCCUUCGGGUUGUAAAGACCUUUUGUUGGGAAAGAAAAGCAGCAGGUUAAUACCCCGCUGUUCUGACGGUACCCAAAGAAUAAGCACCGGCUAACUUCGUG
rnacentral:rRNA from 1 species